rnacentral:rRNA from 1 species
AUGAACGCUGGCGGCGUGCCUAAUACAUGCAAGUCGAGCGAACGGACGAGAAGCUUGCUUCUCUGAUGUUAGCGGCGGACGGGUUAGUAACACGUGGAUAACCUACCUAUAAGACUGGGAUAACUUCGGGAAACCGGAGCUAAUACCGGAUAAUAUUUUGAACCGCAUGGUUCAAAAGUGAAAGACGGUCUUGCUGUCACUUAUAGAUGGAUCCGCGCUGCAUUAGCUAGUUGGUAAGGUAACGGCUUACCAAGGCAACGAUGCAUAGCCGACCUGAGAGGGUGAUCGGCCACACUGGAACUGAGACACGGUCCAGACUCCUACGGGAGGCAGCAGUAGGGAAUCUUCCGCAAUGGGCGAAAGCCUGACGGAGCAACGCCGCGUGAGUGAUGAAGGUCUUCGGAUCGUAAAACUCUGUUAUUAGGGAAGAACAUAUGUGUAAGUAACUGUGCACAUCUUGACGGUACCUAAUCAGAAAGCCACGGCUAACUACGUG